rnacentral:rRNA from 1 species
AUACGGAGGAUCCGAGCGUUAUCCGGAUUUAUUGGGUUUAAAGGGUGCGCAGGCGGGAGAUUAAGUCGGCGGUGAAAUUUUGCCGCUCAACUGUAAAAGUGCCUUCGAAACUGGUUUCCUUGAGUGUAGAUGAAGUAGGCGGAAUUUGUGGUGUAGCGGUGAAAUGCAUAGAUAUCACGAGGAACUCCGAUUGCGCAGGCAGCUUACUAAACUACUACUGACGCUCAGGCACGAAGGCGUGGGGAUCAAACAGGAUUAGAUACCCUGGUAGUCCACGCAGUAAACGAUGAUUACUAGCUGUUUGCGAUACAAUGUAAGCGGCUGAGCGAAAGCGUUAAGUAAUCCACCUGGGGAGUACGUUCGCAAGAAUGAAACUCAAAUGAAUUGGCGGGG